AGUGAACGCUGGCGGUAGGCCUAACACAUGCAAGUCGAACGGCAGCACAGAGGAGCUUGCUCCUUGGGUGGCGAGUGGCGGACGGGUGAGGAAUACAUCGGAAUCUACUCUGUCGUGGGGGAUAACGUAGGGAAACUUACGCUAAUACCGCAUACGACCUACGGGUGAAAGCAGGGGAUCUUCGGACCUUGCGCGAUUGAAUGAGCCGAUGUCGGGUUAGCUAGUUGGCGGGGUAAAGGCCCACCAAGGCGACGAUCCGUAGCUGGUCUGAGGGGAUGAUCAGCCACCCUGGAACUGAGACACGGUCCCGACUCCUACGGGAGGCAGCAGUGGGAAAUAUUGGACAAUGGGCGCAAGCCUGCUUCAGCCAUACCGCGUGGGUGAAGAAGGCCUUCGGGUUGUAAAGCCCUUUUGUUGGGAAAGAAAUCCAUCUGGUUAAUACCCGGGUGGGAUGACGGUACCCAAAGAAUAAGCACCGGCUAACUUCGUGCCAGCCGCCGCAGUAA
rnacentral:rRNA from 1 species